UACAGAGGGUGCAAGCGUUAUUCGGAAUUAUUGGGCGUAAAGGGCGCGUAGGCGGUGCCACAAGUCACCUGUGAAAUCUCCGGGCUUAACUCGGAGCCUGCAGGCGAAACUGUGGUGCUGGAGUGUGGGAGAGGUGCGUGGAAUUCCCGGUGUAGCGGUGAAAUGCGCAGAUAUCGGGAAGAACACCCGUGGCUAAGGCGGCUCUCUAGUACGGUACUGACGCUGAGACGCGAAAGCGUGGGGAGCGAACAGG
rnacentral:rRNA from 1 species